ACGGGUGAGUAAUGCCUGGGAAAUUGCCCUGAUGUGGGGGAUAACCAUUGGAAACGAUGGCUAAUACCGCAUAAUAGCUUCGGCUCAAAGAGGGGGACCUUCGGGCCUCUCGCGUCAGGAUAUGCCCAGGUGGGAUUAGCUAGUUGGUGAGGUAAGGGCUCACCAAGGCGACGAUCCCUAGCUGGUCUGAGAGGAUGAUCAGCCACACUGGAACUGAGACACGGUCCAGACUCCUACGGGAGGCAGCAGUGGGGAAUAUUGCACAAUGGGCGCAAGCCUGAUGCAGCCAUGCCGCGUGUAUGAAGAAGGCCUUCGGGUUGUAAAGUACUUUCAGCAGUGAGGAAGGUGGAGUCGUUAAUAGCGGCCUCAUUUGACGUUAGCUGCAGAAGAAGCACCGGCUAACUCCGUGCCAGCAGCCGCGGUAAUACGGAGGGUGCGAGCGUUAAUCGGAAUUACUGGGCGUAAAGCGCAUGCAGGUGGUUUGUUAAGUCAGAUGUGAA
rnacentral:rRNA from 1 species